rnacentral:rRNA from 1 species
AACGAACGCUGGCGGCAUGCCUAACACAUGCAAGUCGAACGAGACCUUCGGGUCUAGUGGCGCACGGGUGCGUAACGCGUGGGAACCUGCCCUUAGGUUCGGAAUAACUCCCCGAAAGGGGUGCUAAUACCGGAUAAUGUCUUCGGACCAAAGAUUUAUCGCCUUUGGAUGGGCCCGCGUUGGAUUAGCUAGUUGGUAGGGUAAAAGCCUACCAAGGCGACGAUCCAUAGCUGGUCUGAGAGGAUGAUCAGCCACACUGGGACUGAGACACGGCCCAGACUCCUACGGGAGGGAGCAGUGGGGAAUAUUGGACAAUGGGCGAAAGCCUGAUCCAGCAAUGCCGGGUGAGUGAUGAAGGCCUUAGGGUUGUAAAGCUCUUUUAACCGGGAUGAUAAUGACAGUACCGGGAGAAUAAGCUCCGGCUAACUCCGUG